rnacentral:rRNA from 1 species
UGACGCUGGCGGCAGGCUACACAUGCAGUCGGACGGUAGCACAGAGGAGCUUGCUCCUUGGGGUGACGAGUGGCGGACGGGUGAGUAAUGUCUGGGGAUCUGCCCGAUAGAGGGGGAUAACCACUGGAAACGGUGGCUAAUACCGCAUAACUGUCGCAAGACCAAAGAGGGGGACCUUCGGGCCUCUCACUAUCGGAUGAACCCAGAAUGGGAUUAGCUAGUAGCGGGGAUAAUGGCCCACCUAGGCGACGAUCCCUAGCUGGUCUGAGAAGGAUGACCAGCCACACUGGAACUGAGAACACGGCUCCAGAACUCCUACGGGAGGCAGCAGUGGGGAAUAUUGCACAAUGGGCGCAAGCCUGAUGCAGCCAUGCCGCGUGUAUGAAGAAGGCCUUCGGGUUGUAAAGUACUUUCAGCGGGGAGGAAGGCGAUGCGGUUAAUAACCGCGUCGAUUGACGUUACCCGCAGAAGAAGCACCGGCUAACUCCGUGCCAGCAGCCGCGGUAAUACGGAGGGUGCAAGCGUUAAUCGGAAUUACUGGGCGUAAAGCGCACGCAGGCGGUCUGUUAAGUCAGAUGUGAAAUCCCCGGGCUUAACCUG